rnacentral:misc_RNA from 1 species
UUUGAGCUGUAUGUCCUGAGCAUGAAGUAACGAUGCCUGACGCCUAGCUGAAGGACUUCCACCAAUUCCUGGGGGGGUGGCGUUCGAAGCGUGAACGAAAACAGGCGGGCUUCGCGUGCCUUCGGAUCGUGCAAUCGUUCGUAAAAUAAACGUCCCAGAGAUUCAAUAAGCGUUCGUAAAGCUUCCAGACGUCCCCAUUCUUCUGGGGGCAAAUGUUGGCGAAUCUCUUCAAACUUCGCGACGAGAAAGUCUUCGGAGUAUCGGUAGAUCACAUCAUCCUGCACCUUCGGUGGAAUCUCGCUGAUUGACUCUGGCGUCCUUCCGGAACCGACAACCUGAUCGAACAUCAAAUAGCAUGGCUCGAGGAAAUCUCGGACGACGCCUGAAGAUAGGUCAAC